AGAGUUUGAUCCUGGCUCAGAGCGAACGCUGGCGGCAGGCCUAAUACAUGCAAGUCGAACGCACCUUCGGGUGAGUGGCGGACGGGUGAGUAACACGUGGGAACGUGCCCUUUGGUUCGGAAUAAUCCGGGGAAACCUGGCCUAAUACCGGAUGAGCCCUUCGGGGGAAAGAUUUAUCGCCAUUGGAGCGGCCCGCGUCUGAUUAGCUAGUUGGUGGGGUAAAGGCCCACCAAGGCUACGAUCAGUAGCUGGUCUGAGAGGAUGAUCAGCCACACUGGGACUGAGACACGGCCCAGACUCCUACGGGAGGCAGCAGUAGGGAAUCUUGCGCAAUGGGGGAAACCCUGACGCAGCCAUGCCGCGUGAAUGAUGAAGGUCUUAGGAUUGUAAAAUUCUUUCAGCGGGGAAGAUAAUGACUGUACCCGCAGAAGAAGCUCCGGCUAACUUCGUGCCAGCAGCCGCGGUAAUACGAAGGGGGCUAGCGUUGCUCGGAAUUACUGGGCGUAAAGGGCGCGUAGGCGGGUGUUUAAGUCAGAGGUUAAAUCCCAGGGCUCAACCCUGGAACUGCCUUUGAUACUGGGCACCUAGAGUUCGGGAGAGGUGUGUGGAACUCCGAGUGUAGAGGUGAAAUUCGUAGAUAUUCGGAAGAACACCAGUGGCGAAGGCGACACACUGGCCCGAUACUGACGCUGAGGCGCGAAAGCGUGGGGAGCAAACAGGAUUAGAUACCCCAGUAGUCC
rnacentral:rRNA from 1 species